rnacentral:lncRNA from 1 species
AUGAUCAGAUGUAUGGGGAAGGAAGCACUCACACUAAAAAUCACCAUGAAGUUAACUGUCUUCAAGAGCAAGCCUUCAAGUUUCCCUAGCCAUAAAGAAUUCCAGAAUGCCAUGGCAGCCUUGCUGAAUUACCCUCCUCCUCAUCGCCUGCAUUCAGCAGCUUUGGUGACCAGCUACGUCGUUUGGCAGCGGGCUAAAGUGCUCACAAUUGCACAGAGCAAGGAGCAUGCUGUACAGUGAUGUUCCAGUUUAAAAGGACAGAGCUGCAAACAAAGAAAGAACAUACAUUUUGAAGUUAGAACAAACUGGUUUUGAACCAUUUCUCCAGUUUUCCAGCUACAUGACCUGCAG